GUACAGGUAAAAUCAAGCAAUGACGAGUAUACACGUCGUACGCAGAGUAAAUGUUCCUAUCAUAAAAUGUACGAAAAAAGUAGAGCAGAACUAGGAGGGAUUACAUUUUUAUUCGAUGAAAAAUUAACAAUUCAUCGUUGGAAGAAGGUAUUGUUAUUAAGAACUUAAAAAUUGCCAAGAAAGUAAUAAAGUAAAGUACACAAAACAAUUCCGAAUAUCCGAUGUAUGGGGGAUAAUAAUCAACUCAAUUUAUAAAGAGCAAUACAUUAUACGGAGCAUAACCGAUAUACCAAAGAAAAUAAUCAAUAACAUUCGACGUAUAUAU